GUAGGGAAUAUUGCACAAUGGAGGAAACUCUGAUGCAGCGACGCCGCGUGAGUGAUGAAGGCCUUCGGGUCGUAGAGCUCUGUCGCAGGGGAAUAACACAAUGAAGGUACCCUGUAAGAAAGGAUCGGCUAACUUCGUGCCAGCAGCCGCGGUAAGACGAGGGAUCCUAGCGUUGUUCGGAAUCAUUGGGCGUAAAGCGGAUGUAGGUGGCUAUGUAAGUCAGAUGUGAAAGCCUGGGGCUCAACCCCAGAAGUGCAUUUGAUACUGCGUAGCUUGAGUGUCGGAGAGGUUACUAGAAUUGUUGGUGUAGUGGUGAAAUACGUAGAUAUCAACAGGAAUACCGGAGGCGAAGGCGGGUAACUGGCCGAACACUGACACUGAGAUCCGAAAGCGUGGGGAUCAAACAGGAUUAGAAACCCUAGUAGUCC
rnacentral:rRNA from 1 species